CCUACGGGUGGCUGCAGUGAGGAAUAUUGGUCAAUGGACGAGAGUCUGAACCAGCCAAGUAGCGUGAAGGAUGACUGCCCUAUGGGUUGUAAACUUCUUUUAUAUGGGAAUAAAAUGUUCCACGUGUGGGAUUUUGUAUGUACCAUAUGAAUAAGGAUCGGCUAACUCCGUGCCAGCAGCCGCGGUAAUACGGAGGAUCCGAGCGUUAUCCGGAUUUAUUGGGUUUAAAGGGAGCGUAGGUGGAUUGUUAAGUCAGUUGUGAAAGUUUGCGGCUCAACCGUAAAAUUGCAGUUGAAACUGGCAGUCUUGAGUACAGUAGAGGUGGGCGGAAUUCGUGGUGUAGCGGUGAAAUGCUUAGAGAUCACGAAGAAUUCCGAUUGUGAAGGCAGUUCACUGGACUGCAACUGACACUGAGGCUCGAAAGUGUGGGUAUCAAACAGGAUUAGAUACCCUUGUAGUC
rnacentral:rRNA from 1 species